rnacentral:rRNA from 1 species
CCUACGUGAGGCAGCAGUGAGGAAUAUUGGUCAAUGGACGCAAGUCUGAACCAGCCAUGCCGCGUGCAGGAAGACGGCUCUAUGAGUUGUAAACUGCUUUUGUACGAGGGUAAACGCAGAUACGCGUAUCUGCCUGAAAGUAUCGUACGAAUAAGGAUCGGCUAACUACGUGCCAGCAGCCGCGGUAAUACGGAGGAUUCAAGCGUUAUCCGGAUUUAUUGGGUUUAAAGGGUGCGUAGGCGGUCGGAUAAGUUAGAGGUGAAAUCCCGAGGCUCAACUUCGGAAUUGCCUGUGAUACUGUUCGGCUAGAGAGUAGUUGCGGUAGGCGGAAUGUAUGGUGUAGCGGUGAAAUGCUUAGAGAUCAUACAGAACACCGAUUGCGAAGGCAGCUUACCAAGCUACUUCUGACGUUGAGGCACGAAAGCGUGGGGAGCAAACAGGAUUAGAUACCCUAGUAGUC